rnacentral:rRNA from 1 species
CACUCCUGCGGGAGGCAGCAGUGGGGAAUUUUGGACAAUGGGCGAAAGCCUGAUCCAGCAAUGCCGCGUGUGUGAAGAAGGCCUUCGGGUUGUAAAGCACUUUUGUCCGGAAAGAAAUCCUUGGCUCUAAUACAGUCGGGGGAUGACGGUACCGGAAGAAUAAGCACCGGCUAACUACGUGCCAGCAGCCGCGGUAAUACGUAGGGUGCGAGCGUUAAUCGGAAUUACUGGGCGUAAAGCGUGCGCAGGCGGUUUGCUAAGACCGAUGUGAAAUCCCCGGGCUCAACCUGGGAACUGCAUUGGUGACUGGCAGGCUAGAGUAUGGCAGAGGGGGGUAGAAUUCCACGUGUAGCAGUGAAAUGCGUAGAGAUGUGGAGGAAUACCGAUGGCGAAGGCAGCCCCCUGGGCCAAUACUGACGCUCAUGCACGAAAGCGUGGGGAGCAAACAGGAUUAGAUACCCCUGUAGUCCCAUGAU